UCCCACUGGCUGGCCGAGAUCUCCAGCCGCCCCGCAACGCUUCCUGGCUCACCUUCCCCGGAGCCAGGCGGCCGACCGGCGCGGAGGGGGAUCUGGACCAGCCGGACACCACGG
rfam:Sinomonas atrocyanea strain KCTC 3377, complete genome.